CGGUUUUGAUCCAAAACAUAAUAGUGAGCCUUGAGGUUCUAGUCGUAAGGUCGGUUUUCCCAUGAAAAUCAUUUUUUCUGGGUGAGCGUUUUUAAUCAUCGCGGGCUUUCCUGAGUCAUACAAGUUGGGUCCUGACGACUCGCCGGCAACGACAGGAAACAAACGUCCUGCCUAAUACAUCAUCUCCAAGCUAUGGAUAGUGAUCAGUACUGUCUAAGAUGGAGUAAUUAUCAGAACAACAUGACAUCUGUGUUUCAACAACUGUUGGAAAAAGAGGCUUUCCUAGAUGUUACUUUGGCUUGCAGUUGCAGUAAUAUAUCUCUUAAGGCACAUAAGGUAGUUUUGUCUGCCAGUUCGACGUAUUUCCGAAAGUUGCUGCUAGAGAACCCCUGCCAUCACCCCACGAUCAUCAUGCCCCCCGACGUAGGCUUCCCCGACCUUAAGGCCAUUAUAGAAUUCGUCUAUAAGGGCGAGAUUGGCGUGGCACAGGGCGAUCUCCAGUCUCUGCUACGCACUGCCGACCAACUGAAAAUCAAAGGCCUCUGCGAUUCGAACGAAGAAACAGCCAAAACGACUACCUCAACUUCAUCGCCUCAUUUCUCUUCCAAGCAGAUCCAGGAAUCUUCCAGGAAGGAUUCCAGCACGAUACGCAACAACAGACAUCUUAAUUUAGACGACAAUAACUAUCGGCAGUACAAAUACAGACGCUUAGAAAAUCAAAAUACGGUAACGGAAGAAUCAAACUCCACAGACGGAAAAAACGAAGAAGAUAGACACCAAGAGACGCCUAAAAGUACCAAGGAUCCCAAUAACGACAAUGAGAUGCCUAUAGCCCUUGAUGAAAUCAGAAAAAGAGAUCAACUACUGCAAGGCAGACUUGACUUCAGGCAAGUCUUUCUACCAAACAUGAGCAGCAAUGGUGUCAUGGCAGGGCAGACUAUAUUUUCCACGUUCGAUUCGGACGAUUUUCCUCCUGAACCACCGGCUCCGUCUGCUGUACCAGUAGGUCACGUGGACAUGACUGACCACACUACCAUGCUGACCAAUGCGCCCAUACACAGGACAGAUUUGUCAGACUCUACGGGCAAAUACCAUUUGGAAAUCAAAGAAGAGCCUGAUAUAAAAUUUGAAACAUUGCGGUCGUUCGAUCAGGAUAGUCUCUUGGAAAUGGACUCGCACAUGAGCAGCGAACACUCAAUCGGAUCUCACGAAGAUUUAGCUGAAAUGCGCCACAGAACCAUGAUGCGUAGUGAUUUUACCCAAUUACGUAACAGAUUACAUAGCAGACUAGAUAUGAGUGACAGUAGCGAAAAUGGCGACAUCUCUAGCAUAAAAUCGGAAGGACACAGCGAAAGCUCGCACCAGAGUAGUCCAAGGCCUCAUAGUGGGGGUGGCCCAAAAACGUGGACUCAGGAAGACAUGGACAUGGCACUGGACGCUUUGAAAAACCACAACAUGAGUUUAACCAAAGCUCAGGCUUCCGCUACAUACGGCAUUCCAUCCACCACUCUUUGGCAACGGGCCCACAGACUAGGGAUCGACACGCCUAAGAAAGAAGGUCCUACGAAGUCUUGGACGGAAGAGAACCUUAAUAACGCCCUCGAUGCGCUGAGAACCGGUACUAUAUCGGCCAACAAGGCUAGCAAGGCUUAUGGGAUUCCCAGCAGUACGCUGUACAAGAUCGCUAGAAGGGAGGGGAUACGAUUGGCGGCUCCGUUUAAUGCAGCGCCUACGGCUUGGACGCCAGAAGAUUUAGAGAAAGCGCUAGAAUCGAUUAGAACAGGCCAGACAUCCGUCCAGAAAGCUUCCACAGAAUUUGGAAUACCCACUGGCACCCUUUAUGGGAGGUGCAAAAGGGAAGGCAUCGAAUUAUCUAGGUCUAAUCCUACCCCUUGGUCAGAAGAUUCAAUGGGAGAAGCACUAGAAGCAGUAAGGUCACAUGUCUAUAAAUCAAGCAGCCAUCCAUUAUAAUUUGCCUUACUCCUCAUUGUAUGGAAGGUUCAAGCGAGGAAUAAAGUAUGACUCCGAUAAUAUAGAGGUUCAUCAAGAAAACAGCCAAGCUCAAAUGGACAUCCACGGCUUCGGCAGCGUGGAAUUCAACAACGGCCAACACCACCACAUCCAAUUCCACAACCAGCCCAACAGCUGAGACCCGAUCCUGGAUUUCGACUGUUUUUAGAACGAACCACACUUUCGGUUGCUUAUCCUUUCAUUGUUCGCCAAAAAUGAUUCGUUUUUGAAGAGGAAGCUCGGUAUAUAUGAGUUAGGAGAUUAAAGAAAAUGAAAAUUUUCAAUCAAAAUCCAUUUAUUUUGCCAUGAGAAAAGUAUAAAUAUCUAUAAUUUAUUUGUGGAUUUUUUUCAUGGAUAAAUCUAAUGCUUUUGGGCUGUUAAAGUAACUAAAUACGUAAAUUUUAGUGUAUAAAGGUUCUAAUUUAUUGAAAUAUAAACGAAUUAUCGUUUUAUUUUUCUACAGGGUGUUUCAUAAGUAAAUUAAAACACCUCUCUCGGUAUAAUACAGCUCUUAUAUUUUAAUACAGCGAAUCUUUAUGAAAAAAUAAAAUUAAAAUAAAAAUUUGCGCGCUUCCGAACUUUUUUUCGCCUAACAUCAUGUCUUCUGUCAUGUUUUUUUACUUAGCAAUCACCCUGUAUAUCAAUAAAACAAAACUUACCUACUUGUUUUUGAUUACCAUUAUAACAUGGAAACUCUCUCAAAUAUCUCUCAGGAAAACAAAUCUAUAAAACAGGACUAAAUGAUGUCAGAAACAAGACGAGAUACUUUUUCAGUGCCCUGUACAUAAUGCCAAACGAUUAAUAAGGUUAUAUUAUAGGAAAAUAAAUAAACUCUUACCAAUUUCUUUUUUGUUGUUGCUUAAAAGAGUUAAAGAAAUAUAUAUUGCAGCAUUGUGUACAGAAUGAUUUCAAAAGCCUUUUUAAAAUGAUACAUACAUUUAUUGAAGUGCAAUAUUUAUACAAAUCACUUUUAGAGAGUGGGAAAAUAAGAAAAUAACUAGUGUACAGAGAUAACAGUGUAAAUUGUAGCCUAAUUUACUGGAUCAAAUGCUUUAGAAAAAAAAAUGGUAAAAAUAAAAUUAAUGUUAUUUUGGGGCUAAAAUAAAAUAUCCUAUACAGACCUAAUAGUCAUCGUAAAUCAGUAGUCUGGAUUUCUAAAUGUGUAAGAAUACGAAUAUCCUAAUGAAAAAAA
rnacentral:misc_RNA from 1 species